GACGAACGCUGGCGGCGUGCCUAAUACAUGCAAGUCGAACGCAGUGGGGACGGGUGAGUAACACGUGGGUAACCUCCCCUCAGAGGGGAUAACACUUGGAAACAGGUGCUAAACCGAUACUGCUGGAUGGACCCGGGUUGGAUUAGCUAGUUGGUGAGGUAACGGACCACCAAGGCCACGAUCCGUAGCUGGUCUGAGAGGAUGAUCAGCCACACUGGAACUGAGACACGGCCCAGACUCCUACGGGAGGCAGCAGUGGGGAAUCUUCGGCAAUGGGCGAAAGCCUGACCGAGCAACGCCGCGUGAGUGAAGAAGGUUUUCGGAUCGUAAAGCUCUGUAGUUAGGGAGGCGGUAUCUAAACAGAAAGCAACGGCUAACUUCGUGCCAGCAGCCGCGGUAAUUC
rnacentral:rRNA from 1 species